rnacentral:rRNA from 1 species
AUUGAACGCUGGCGGCAUGCCUUACACAUGCAAGUCGAACGGAAACAGGCCUUCGGGCGCUGUCGAGUGGCGAACGGGUGAGUAAAGUAUCGGAACGUACCCUUCAGUGGGGGAUAACUAUCCGAAAGGAUAGCUAAUACCGCAUAUUCUCUGAGGAGGAAAGCGGGGGACCGCAAGGCCUCGCGCUGAUGGAGCGGCCGAUAUCAGAUUAGCUAGUUGGCGGGGUAAAAGCCCACCAAGGCGACGAUCUGUAGCGGGUCUGAGAGGAUGAUCCGCCACACUGGGACUGAGACACGGCCCAGACUCCUACGGGAGGCAGCAGUGGGGAAUUUUGGACAAUGGGGGCAACCCUGAUCCAGCCAUGCCGCGUGAGUGAAGAAGGCCUUCGGGUUGUAAAGCUCUUUCGGCCGGGAAGAAAACGCCUCUCCUAAUACGGGGGGUGGAUGACGGUACCGGACUAAGAAGCACCGGCUAACUACGUGCCAGCAGCCGCGGUAAUA